AAAAAUGAAAGUACGUAUUCUUUCCUCCCCAUGUUUGUCUUCUUUAUUUACUGUUUUCUACAUUUGAUAUCAAAGUCAAUCAAGAGGGAGGGAGGGAGUGUUUGAGAGUCAAACACGUGAGGAAAAGUGUGAGUGAGAGACGGUCGUGGGAGUUCCAUUCCAUACUAGCUAGUUGCAUAAAUUUUUCUUUUGAGAUGGGUG
rnacentral:lncRNA from 1 species